GUAGGGAAUAUUGCGCAAUGGACGAAAGUCUGACGCAGCGACGCCGCGUGAGUGAUGAAGGCCUUAGGGUCGUAAAGCUCUGUUGAAUGGGAAGAAAAAAAUGACGGUACCAUUCGAGGAAGGACCGGCUAACUUCGUGCCAGCAGCCGCGGUAAUACGAGGGGUCCUAGCGUUGUUCGGAAUCAUUGGGCGUAAAGGGUGUGUAGGUGGCCAUGUAAGUCAGGUGUGAAAGCCCCGGGCUCAACCCGGGAAGUGCACUUGAUACUGCGUGACUUGAGUACCGAAGAGGGUAGUGGAAUUCCAGGUGUAGUGGUGAAAUACGUAGAUAUCUGGAGGAACACCGGUGGCGAAGGCGGCUACCUGGUCGAGUACUGACACUGAGACACGAAAGCAUGGGGAUCAAACAGGAUUAGAAACCCCAGUAGUCC
rnacentral:rRNA from 1 species